GGUGGAGGCAUCGACUAAUCAGCAGAUGCCAGUGUAUAAUCUUGCAUCGAAGAUUCUUUGUCGGGUUGUCAAUGUAUCAUUGAAGGCUGAACCAGACACUGAUGAAGUAUAUGCACAAGUCACUUUACUUCCUGAAUCAAAUUUUUCAGAAUGGUUAUGUCACACUCUGCUAUUCUUCCUGUCAAAAUGGGGAAUGUUUGCAUGGUUGUCACUCUUCGAACAGAUAUCUCUGGUUAUAGCCUCAAUCUACAAGCUUUGUGGCUGAUCAGAGCCUACCGUAUUUGGAUUUUGCUGGAAGAAGGUUUCGAAUUGGACGAUUGGAAGACAAAAAGGUUAUAAUUGUUAUGACUGGAUUGAGCAUGCUCAAUGCAGGCAUCUCAACUCAAUUACUACAAACCCUAUUCAAGGUGAAAGCUGUUGUACACUAUGGAAUUGCAGGAAAUGCAGAUCCUCAACUCCAAAUUGGAGAUGUCACCAUCCCUCAAUUUUGGGCUUAUACAGGCCUUUGGAAUUGGCAGAAUUUUGGGUCGUUGGAGGCAGAAGUUGGUUGCUUUGCUUGGCAUGAUGAGUGCGGAAGACUUUGCUGCUUGAACAAGAACGACUGCUGCAGGGCGUUCUACAUGUUUUUGGCUUUCAACAUUUUUGCUUCAAGACUUAGCUGCUUGAACAAGAACGAAACUCAAUCUUAACUGCAAUGCAAAAUAUGUGUGGACUGCAUGUUACUUCUGUUUCUUACGGUAACAGGCGUCCUGCAUGUUUUUUGCUUUGCACGUUUGUGCUUGAAAACUUAGAUGCUAGAAUAAGAACAAAAUAGUUUUUAUGUUGCCUAAUCUACAUGAUAUAUAUUUUGCCACAUUGACUACAAGGGCAAGAUUUGUGUGAACUGUCUGUUACUUCUGUUUAUUAGGGAACCAAAACGUUCA